GAUGAACGCUGGCGGCGUGCCUAAUACAUGCAAGUAGAACGCUGAAGGAGGAGCUUGCUCUUCUGGAUGAGUUGCGAACGGGUGAGUAACGCGUAGGUAACCUGCCUGGUAGCGGGGGAUAACUAUUGGAAACGAUAGCUAAUACCGCAUGACAACAGUUAUUGCAUGAUAACUGUUUAAAAGGGGCAACUGCUCCACUACCAGAUGGACCUGCGUUGUAUUAGCUAGUUGGUGAGGUAACGGCUCACCAAGGCGACGAUACAUAGCCGACCUGAGAGGGUGAUCGGCCACACUGGGACUGAGACACGGCCCAGACUCCUACGGGAGGCAGCAGUAGGGAAGCUUCGGCAAUGGACGGAAGUCUGACCGAGCAACGCCGCGUGAGUGAAGAAGGUUGUCGGAUCGUAAAGCUCUGUUGUAAGAGAAGAACGAGUGUGAGAGUGGAAAGUUCACACUGUGACGGUAUCUUACCAGAAAGGGACGGCUAACUACGUG
rnacentral:rRNA from 1 species